GAAAACGUGCUGCGUCUUCGGAUAUGGGCGCAUUCAUGACGGUGUGUCGCAUUUUAAACUUCUGGAAGGAUUGACAGAUUGAGAGCUUUUUCUUGCUUCUGUGGAUGGUGGUGCAUGUCCGUGAUUAGUUGGUGGACUGAUUUGUCUAGUUAAUUCCGAUAACGAACGAGACUCUAGCCUGUUAAAUAGGUGCGUAAUUCUCUGCACCUUGCACCCUUCGAGGGACAAGCGGCUCCUAGCCGCACGAAACAGAGCGAUAACAGGUCUGUGAUGCCCUUAGAUGUCCGGGGCUGCACGCGCGCUACACUGAAGGAAGCAGCGUGUUUUUAUCCCUGUCUGUUAAGACAGUAAGCUUAGAAAAAAGCGGCUUGCGCAAAUACAGGGGGCUAAUUGAACUCCAUCGGAAUACC
rnacentral:ncRNA from 1 species